GCAGUCGAGCGAAUGGAUUAAGAGCUUGCUCUUAUGAAGUUAGCGGCGGACGGGUGAGUAACACGUGGGUAACCUGCCCAUAAGACUGGGAUAACUCCGGGAAACCGGGGCUAAUACCGGAUAACAUUUUGAACCGCAUGGUUCGAAAUUGAAAGGCGGCUUCGGCUGUCACUUAUGGAUGGACCCGCGUCGCAUUAGCUAGUUGGUGAGGUAACGGCUCACCAAGGCAACGAUGCGUAGCCGACCUGAGAGGGUGAUCGGCCACACUGGGACUGAGACACGGCCCAGACUCCUACGGGAGGCAGCAGUAGGGAAUCUUCCGCAAUGGACGAAAGUCUGACGGAGCAACGCCGCGUGAGUGAUGAAGGCUUUCGGGUCGUAAAACUCUGUUGUUAGGGAAGAACAAGUGCUAGUUGAAUAAGCUGGCACCUUGACGGUACCUAACCAGAAAGCCACGGCUAACUACGUGCCAGCAGCCGCGGUAAUACGUAGGUGGCAAGCGUUAUCCGGAAUUAUUGGGCGUAAAGCGCGCGCAGGUGGUUUCUUAAGUCUGAUGUGAAAGCCCACGGCUCAACCGUGGAGGGUCAUUGGAAACUGGGAGACUUGAGUGCAGAAGAGGAAAGUGGAAUUCCUUGUGUAGCCGCUGAAAUGCCGAAGAGAUAUGGAAGGAACACCA
rnacentral:rRNA from 1 species